CGGUUCGCGAUUCAGUUCAAUCACUCACUCCUGCGCCUCUGAGUCGUUUGAAGCGGUUAGCGUUAUUUUAGAGCAGGACAUGAUCUGAAAAACGUGGAUAUUUUGCCCACAGUCCACAGAAACAAACUCAAACUUCAUCCAGUGUUUUCCCAGUUACGGAAGAUAUCUUGUGAAGUAGAAGUAGCCGAACAGACCCCACUGCACGAGGAGCUUGAGGAACUUCAGGGAGAGUGCAUUAUGUGUAAAGAUUGGCGUCCACGGCGGGAUGAGGCCUUUCGGGUCAACAGAGGUGAUUUUGAACACAAAAGCUCUUCAGGCUGUCUGGAGGAAGUCAUGCGAGUCUCCAGAGAGGAACCUCAAUAAAGAAGCGGCCAGAGUAAAUAAUGACUGCUCCGCAUGGUGUUCCUGUCAUCGGCGGCCCAUCGCUGAGAUGAGCGAGGCUUUAAGCAGUAGGAGAUUUUAGCAGAAUUUCUUGGAACCUGCACCCCGGGACCAGAAUAGAGCAAACUUGAGUGAUAACGCAGACAUGAAGAUCUGACCUUGAGAGAUGGAUCGGCCUCUGAAAAGCGAGCCUGUAGCAGGAGCGUAAUAGCCACAAAUCAAUAUGUUUAAAAGGCAGCACAUUCCUCUGCAGAGACUGAUCAGCUGCGUAAAUUCAAGAGAUGCUUAUUCAAAUAUGGAGAUGGGUGUUAAGGCUUAUUUGAUGACCGAUGUUCUCGUCUAGCUCCUUGCAGACUCGAAAUGGCAAUCUGGACAAUUAGACUAUCCUGUUGACGCAGAUUGGAAUAUAAUAAGAUGAAGGACAUAUAAUAGCCCAAUGUGUGCAGUCCAUUUAGGCAGUGGAACAUUUGCAUUGCACUUUACAGUAAUACAAUGUGCUCUGUGAGUACAAACGUCUUCGCAGAAAUACUUUAAAGCUUUAUUUUGAUUAAGGAGAAGAGAUGAUAUGAGGAUGAAUGAGAUGACGUGUGCUUUAAUGGCUGCUGUGGUUUUAUUUUUUAACAAAAAAGGAAUGAAAUAUGAUAUGCACUGAUAAUCAGAACAGAUAUGAUAUUAGUGUAUAAAGCCUCUUUUGACUCAAACUGUUUGUUUUAAAAGUUUUUU
rnacentral:lncRNA from 1 species